GACGAACGCUGGCGGCGUGCUUAACACAUGCAAGUCGAACGGAAAGGCCCUGCUUUUGUGGGGUGCUCGAGUGGCGAACGGGUGAGUAACACGUGAGUAACCUGCCCUUGACUUUGGGAUAACUUCAGGAAACUGGGGCUAAUACCGGAUAGGAGCUCCUGCUGCAUGGUGGGGGUUGGAAAGUUUCGGCGGUUGGGGAUGGACUCGCGGCUUAUCAGCUUGUUGGUGGGGUAGUGGCUUACCAAGGCUUUGACGGGUAGCCGGCCUGAGAGGGUGAACGGGCACCAUGGGACUGCGGUACGGCCCAGACUGCUACGGGGGGCAAGAGGGGGGAAUUUUGCCCAAUGGGGCGAAGCCUGGUGCCACAACCGCCGGGUGGGGAAGAACGCCUUGCGGUUGGGAACCGCUUUAGGCUGUUACCAAGCGUGAGUGACGGUAAUGGGUGAAGAAGCACCGGCUAACUUCGUG
rnacentral:rRNA from 1 species